rnacentral:rRNA from 1 species
UGGGGAAUUUUGGACAAUGGGCGAAAGCCUGAUCCAGCAAUGCCGCGUGUGUGAAGAAGGCCUUCGGGUUGUAAAGCACUUUUGUCCGGAAAGAAAUCCUUGGCUCUAAUACAGUCGGGGGAUGACGGUACCGGAAGAAUAAGCACCGGCUAACUACGUGCCAGCAGCCGCGGUAAUACGUAGGGUGCAAGCGUUAAUCGGAAUUACUGGGCGUAAAGCGUGCGCAGGCGGUUUGCUAAGACCGAUGUGAAAUCCCCGGGCUCAACCUGGGAACUGCAUUGGUGACUGGCAGGCUAGAGUAUGGCAGAGGGGUAGGUAUGAUCCUACGUGUAGCAGUGAAAUGCGUAGAGAUGUGGAGGAAUACCGAUGGCGAAGGCAGCCCCCUGGGCCAAUACUGACGCUCAUGCACGAAAGCGUGGGGAGCAAACAGGAUUAGAUACCCUGGUAGUCCACGCCCUAAACGAUGUCAACUAGUUG